UCCGAUUGUUUGCAUCUUGCGAUUUAUUUUGCUAGGGUUCAGUUGCUUUUGUUUUUCUUUCUCUUCCGCUUUACAGUUUUAUUGUCUAACCAAUUCAUUUUUUGUUUUGUAUAAAGAUCAAGAAUGUGAUCAAUGGGUGUGGCAGUGGGAGCUCAUGACUAUUGAAACCGUUAUUUUGUAGAUUUGUGGCCUUGAUAGUAAAGUCAUGAGAGAUAUAAUAAAUCGAAAUAAAGUGAAUAUGAUCAAGCACAUAAUGAAAACAAAUAUUAAGAAUUAAGAUAAUAAACAAAGUAUCUAUAUAAUGGGAGAAUCGGCCGGUGUACGAAAUCGUGAAGAAACACUAUGGGGAUCUUGGUAUGAAAUCAAAAGACGCAAUAGGUUGAUGAGAAGGCUUCUGUUAAAAAGAACGAAGAAUCUAGCAAUGAAACAGUUUGACAUUUCAUGCGAUCACUAUUUGAUCAGUAGUGUUUAUUUAAGGUUACUGAAAUGGUGAUGCUGAAAGCUGAUCCGCAUAACCCUUUUGACUACUUUAGAGUCUAUCUUCGCGUAAUGAGCAAACAGAAAGCGUCAAAUCAGCAUUACAUAAUUUACAUGUACAAAUAUAAUCCCUAUAAUAUACAUUUCUGGACAUUACAUUUGGGUAUAGUCCCUAUAGAGUAAUCUUAUUUUGCAGAGAUAUAUUGUUUCUGAUUGUGACUCACUUGAGGUCUACCACAAGCGUGGUGGUUUACUCUAUGCUUUAAUUAAGACAAAUGGAAAGAUGAUGUUCUUACGACCGUAUUUUUCAUAGUUCACGAGUGUUUUUUUCUCGCUCAGAUUCUCCACUUUUACUGACCACCGUUCUCUGUUUUUCUACAACUAUUCUACACAAGAGGUACUCACAACGAUAAAUCCAUGAGGUUCUUAUAGCGUUUUGUUUGAUCUUAUGAUUCGAGAAGGGAAGGACUAAGGGGAGGGACUAAAACUUUUGAGGAAAGCUUGACUCUUUUAAGAAGAUGAUAAAUAAUAAAAUGUCUAUUAUAUCCUUAAUUAUAAUUAGGUUUACAAACCAAACAAGACCCAACUAAAAAUGAAAUAGGCUUGGCCUUCUUCCUCAUAUCGACCAUUGUUACAGAUCUACACAAUAGGCACCUCUGCAUUUCCUGUUUGUGAUCACAUGACUCCAAACAGAUAGACGCAGAGCAAGGAGUGAUCAAAUAAGAAUUAAUGGUCCCAUAAUACCAAAACUGUUUAAUUAAUUUUAUGUAAACAUUACCUAACCCUUUCAAUCCAAAUUAAAACUCAGAUGACCGUAUAAAACUGAUAAAGCCAAAUUAGAACUUAGUAAAACUGAUAAAGACAGAGAUUCUUAAUCAUCCGACGCAAAUAGACAUUAGUAAUCUAAUCACACC